rnacentral:rRNA from 1 species
AUUGAACGCUGGCGGCAGGCCUAACACAUGCAAGUCGAGCGGAGCGGCGGACGGGUGAGUAAUUCCUAGGAAUCUGCCUGGUAGUGGGGGAUAACGUACGGAAACGGACGCUAAUACAGCAUACUAUCAGAUGAGCCUAGGUCGGAUUAGCUAGUUGGUGGGGUAAAGGCUGACCAAGGCGACGAUCCGUCGCUGGGCUGAGAGGAUGAUCAGUCAACCUGGAACUGGGAAACGGUCCCGACUCCUACGGGAGGCAGCAGUGGGGAAUAUUGGACAAUGGGCGAAAGCCUGAUGCAGCCAUGCCGCGUGUGUGAAGAAGGUCUUCGGAUUGUAAAGCACUUUAAGUUGGGAGGCGUUACCAACAGAAUAAGCACCGGCUAACUUCGUGCCAGCAGCCGCGGUAAUAC